UUCUAUUAAACAAAAGGCGAGCAUGUUUGAUUGUAAGGAGGACAAGGAGGGAUUUGUGGGGUUGAGUCCAAAUAAUGCUAUUAGGGGACAAGGUUUAAUAUCUAAAAUGAAGUGUUCAGAGAUUGAUUUAAAAAUUGAUGUCCAGAAAGAGGUCAAGGCUGGGCAAAGCCAAAAAGUAUGAUAAAGAGUAGCCGCAGCCGCCGACACCGAUCACAAGUUGGAUCCAAACCAGGGUUAAUUUUAGAUAGUUUGGUCUUUGUCCAAUACACUCUAUGCAACAAUUUAAACUGGAUUAACGAAUGACGGGCGCAUAUAGAGGAGGAAUGUACACGACCAAGAGCCUUGGACCAUUCCUCAUCCGUGAAAUUAUAAUUAAGGUCCGAUUCCCAGUUACUCUUUAUUUUAGAAAGCGAUGAAGAGCCCGAAUGAACAACGAAUAAAAAAAUAGUUUUAUAAAUAUUAGAGACAGUACCCUUACAAAGUUUUGUUUCUAAAACUCGAUCAAUCUCUUGUUUAGGAGGUGGGUGCAGGAAAUGAGAGGAUGUGUUCCUUACAAAAUCACGAAUUUGGAGAUAUCGGAAAAAAUGAGUUUUAUGGAGGUUGAAUUUUUCUGACAGAUUUUAAGGCUUUGUAGAACUAAAGGAUUGGAGGAGUAAUCGGAUGUCUUCAACGCUAAUGAAGAGCGUAAUAAAGCAUGCAGAGGCACAUAAGGAAGAGGUCAGACAGGAGUCUCUCCGUGGACUAUGAUGUUUGCCGACAGUAUUGUGAUUUGUGGUGAGAGUAGGGAGCAGGUGAAUGGAAGUCAGUAGACAUGUGUGUGGAUGAGAGGGAGAGCAGUGGAGUGGUGAAGGUGUACGAGUGAAGGGGGACACCGAUAACCAUUGCAGCCGUCUAAACUGUCCUCUGUAGUCCUCUGAUGUCUGAUUUUACAGCUGAGCAGAACCAGACAGUUAUUAAAGCAACUCCUGUUUGGAGAGAUGGUGGUGCCCAGGAACCUAAAUGACUCCACUGCUGCCAUAGUGCUGUUCAUGAUGGUGAUUGUGUGGAUCCAUAGGUUAGUGGUCAUCACAUCUGCUUUACAUGCUGAAGGUUCUGGCUUCAACUCCCAGUGGGACCAUGCAGGUUGUAAACAUGAAUAAGGUUUAUAUAUUACAAAUUGUUACUCAAUCCUGGAAAUAAAUAAACAGUUUUGCAUGUUUCUGCAUUGUGCUUGUGCAUCUCAGCAUAAUGUCCAACUUUUGAGGAUCUUUUGGUCGACUUCA